rnacentral:pre_miRNA from 1 species
AGGCAGAGAAGCCAGGUCACGUCUCUGCAGUUACACAGCUCACGAGUGCCUGCUGGGGUGGAACCUGGUCUGUCUGUCU